rnacentral:rRNA from 1 species
GAUGAACGCUGGCGGCGUGCCUAAUACAUGCAAGUCGAGCGAACGGACGAGAAGCUUGCUUCUCUGAUGUUAGCGGCGGACGGGUGAGUAACACGUGGAUAACCUACCUAUAAGACUGGGAUAACUUCGGGAAACCGGAGCUAAUACCGGAUGAUAUUUUGAACCGCAUGGUUCAAAAGUGGAAGACGGUCUUGCUGUCACUUAUAGAUGGAUCCGCGCUGCAUUAGCUAGUUGGUAAGGUAACGGCUUACCAAGGCAACGAUGCAUAGCCGACCUGAGAGGGUGAUCGGCCACACUGGAACUGAGACACGGUCCAGACUCCUACGGGAGGCAGCAGUAGGGAAUCUUCCGCAAUGGGCGAAAGCCUGACGGAGCAACGCCGCGUGAGUGAUGAAGGUCUUCGGAUCGUAAAACUCUGUUAUUAGGGAAGAACAUAUGUGUAAGUAACUGUGCACAUCUUGACAGUACCUAAUCAGAAAGCCACGGCUAACUACGUG